CUGCUUGCUGCGUGAGACUGAGUAACUGCUAGAUCCUUGGACUUCCAUUCACAGCUGCGACUGAACAAUUGUUGGGAAUUGGGCUGCCGACUAGUCGAAUGUCAUAGUAUCCCCAGUGUCUCAAAUGAUGAGAGUAAGCAAAAGUGCAAACCAGAGUGGAAAGUUCAGAUUCUAUCUGUGUUCUCAGCGAGAAGGUGGGACCUUGAAGAUACUAUACAAGCAAGAUCAAGCCGUUGGGAAUAUUAUUUGAAGAAUUAAAGUUGAUUUGCAAG
rnacentral:lncRNA from 1 species